UCGCUCCUCACUCCGUCAUCCCCACACCAUAGAAAUGACGUGAUGAGACAUCUAUUGUACCCAAAAAUGAAGUUCUGGAAUUAAUAUUGUGUUCAGAGAAGUAGAACAAAAAAAAGCUGAAGCAAUAAUGCAUGGGCUCUGCAUUCCAUAUAUGUUUGGUUUUUUACUUGAUUUAAUUUUCGGAUAAAAUGCAAACCAUCUCUAAUUCUAGAUUUCUUCACCAAUCACCCCAAAGAUUCAAGAAUGAGAAAGUACCCAAACUCUGUUCAAUAAACCUUCGAUUUUUGCCCACUGAAAAAGAGCUAAUUUUUGGGUAUAAAUAUUUUGUAUCCAUUAACGGGUACAAAUGAUGUUGUUAUGAGGGUGGGGGAUGGAGCGAGGAACGAUAAAGAUAGGAAGCAGGGAAUGGGCGAUGAUAAAGAUUGGUAGUUUUUAUGGUGGGUGUUAGGUGGUAAUAAAUAUUGUUGUUUCAUAUGUUGCUAAUUGUUGUAGAACUCUUUAUAACCCAAUUGCAAUACGGCCUUGCGACCUAGAAUUCGACCUAUAAUUGACACCUUUACUAUCUCAUAGGACCAACAUGGAAUGCUCCAAAAUCUUGCGAGGUGUUAUUAACAAGGGAUUCCUUGUAACCUGUGUGAGGUACUCUUGAGAUCACGCCUCAUGACCUUGCAAGGUGGGAUACGCAAUCACUUAUGUGUUAUAGGGGAUGCCUCACAACUUGUGCGAGGCGGAAUAUCAACGCUUCGUGGCCUUUCGAGGUGGGAUACACGACCACUUUUGAUAAUACUUAGGCGUGAGCCCUGUUCAAAAGGCGCAUAUAUGAUACGUGUCGAACCUACAAUGAGGACAUGCCGUCCUAAGUUAUAUGCAUGGCACCUAACUACCUCCUUAAAAUGUCACGUAAAGAUAACCAUAUCUUAUAAAUAAGAAAGGAUCGUUUAGGGGAAGCAAAAUGAAACCUUUUUUUUUUGGUUUUGGGUCAGUAAGGGCAUGUCAAACCAUUAAGCCCAGUGCAUCCAUUGGGUUGAGUCGACUCCACCCUCUCCAAUUGCAAAGCACAAAAAUACAACAAUGUUUUUGUUUUCUUAAACGAUUUUUUAUGGGAAAAAAAAUCUAAGAUUCAUAUAAUAUCUAGAGUUAGUAUUCCAUAUAUAUACUAUCAAUGAAAAUUUUUAAUUUUAUAAGUACUUUUUUUUA
rnacentral:lncRNA from 1 species